UAGGGCGAGGCACGUGAAACCUUGUCUGAAUAUGGGGGGACCAUCCUCCAAGGCUAAAUACUCCUGACUGACCGAUAGUGAACCAGUACCGUGAGGGAAAGGCGAAAAGAACCCCUGUGAGGGGAGUGAAAUAGAUCCUGAAACCGCAUGCAUACAAGCAGUGGGAGCACCUUCGUGGUGUGACUGCGUACCUUUUGUAUAAUGGGUCAGCGACUUAUAUUCAGUAGCAAGGUUAACCGUAUAGGGGAGCCGUAGAGAAAUCGAGUCUUAAUAGGGCGUUUAGUUGCUGGGUAUAGACCCGAAACCAGGCGAUCUAUCCAUGAGCAGGUUGAAGGUUGGGUAACACUAACUGGAGGACCGAACCCACUGUCGUUGAAAAGCCAGGGGAUGACUUGUGGAUAGGGGUGAAAGGCUAAUCAAGCCUGGUGAUAGCUGGUUCUCCCCGAAAGCUAUUUAGGUAGCGCCUCGGACGAAUACCAUAGGGGGUAGAGCACUGUUUCGGCUAGGGGGUCAUCCCGACUUACCAAACCGAUGCAAACUCCGAAUACCUAUGAGUACUAUCCGGGAGACAGACUGCGGGUGCUAACGUCCGUAGUCAAGAGGAAAACAAUCCAGACCGCCAGCUAAGGCCCCAAAAUCAUAGUUAAGUGGGAAACGAUGUGGGAAGGCAUAGACAGCUAGGAGGUUGGCUUAGAAGCAGCCACCCUUUAAAGAAAGCGUAAUAGCUCACUAGUCGAGUCGGCCUGCGCGGAAGAUGUAACGGGGCUAAAA
rnacentral:rRNA from 1 species